UUUGAUCCUGGCUCAGAUUGAACGCUGGCGGCAGGCCUAACACAUGCAAGUCGAACGGUAGCAGGAUGUGCUUGCACAUCGCUGACGAGUGGCGGACGGGUGAGUAAUGCUUGGGAACUUGCCUUUGCGAGGGGGAUAACAGUUGGAAACGACUGCUAAUACCGCAUAAUGUCUACGGACCAAACGGGGCUUAGGCUCCGGCGCAGAGAGAGGCCCAAGUGAGAUUAGCUAGUUGGUGGGGUAAAGGCUCACCAAGGCAACGAUCUCUAGCUGUCCUGAGAGGAAGAUCAGCCACACUGGGACUGAGACACGGCCCAGACUCCUACGGGAGGCAGCAGUGGGGAAUAUUGCACAAUGGGGGAAACCCUGAUGCAGCCAUGCCGCGUGUGUGAAGAAGGCCUUCGGGUUGUAAAGCACUUUCAGUUGUGAGGAAAAGUUAGUAGUUAAUACC
rnacentral:rRNA from 1 species